AGUCGACGAUGAAUCUUCUAGCUUGCUAGAAGUGGAUUAGUGGCGCACGGGUGAGUAAUGCAUAGGUUAUGUGCCCUUUAGUCUGGGAUAGCCACUGGAAACGGUGAUUAAUACUGGAUACUCCCUACGGGGGAAAGUUUUUCGCUAAAGGAUCAGCCUAUGUCCUAUCAGCUUGUUGGUGUGGUAAUGGCUCACCAAGGCUAUGACGGGUAUCCGGCCUGAGAGGGUGAUCGGACACACUGGAACUGAGACACGGUCCAGACUCCUACGGGAGGCAGCAGUAGGGAAUAUUGCUCAAUGGGGGAAACCCUGAAGCAGCAACGCCGCGUGGAGGAUGAAGGUUUUAGGAUUGUAAACUCCUUUUGUUAGAGAAGAUUAUGACGGUAUCUAACGAAUAAGCACCGGCUAACUCCGUGCCAGCAGCCGCGGUAAUACGGAGGGUGCAAGCGUUACUCGGAAUCACUGGGCGUAAAGAGUGCGUAGGCGGGGUAAUAAGUCAGAUGUGAAAUCCUGUAGCUUAACUACAGAACUGCAUUUGAAACUGUUACUCUGGAGUGUGGGAGAGGUAGGUGGAAUUCUUGGUGUAGGGGUAAAAUCCGUAGAGAUCAAGAGGAAUACUCAUUGCGAAGGCGACCUGCUGGAACAUUACUGACGCUGAUGCACGAAAGCGUGGGGAGCAAACAGGAUUAGAUACCCUGGUAGUCCACGCCCUAAACGAUGGAUGCUAGUUGUUGCCUUGCUUGUCAGGGCAGUAAUGCAGCUAACGCAUUAAGCAUCCCGCCUGGGGAGUACGGUCGCAAGAUUAAAACUCAAAGGAAUAGACGGGGACCCGCACAAGCGGUGGAGCAUGUGGUUUAAUUC
rnacentral:rRNA from 1 species